rnacentral:lncRNA from 1 species
GAACUGUACUUGUGGCACAUGCAAGUUCCCAAGCAAAGCUGCAGCUGCCAGCUACACCACAGCCACGGCAACACCAGAUCUGAGCCACAUCUGUGACCUAUGCUGCAGCUUGCAGCAACGCCAGAUUCAUAACCCAGUGAGUGAGCUCAUGGAUCAAACCCACAUCCUCAUGGAUACUAGUCAGAUAACCCACUGGGUCACAACAGGAACUCCUGUUGUGCUCCUUUUUUUUUUAAUUUUAUUUUUUUAUUUUAUUUUUUAUUUUUUUUGCUUUUUAGGGCCACACCUGUGGCAUAUGGAGGUUCCCAGGCUAGGGGUCUAAUUGGAGCUGUAGCUGCUGGCCUAUGCUAGAGCCACAGCAAGGUGGGAUCCAAGCCACAUCUGGGACCUACACCACAGCUCACGGCAACGCAGGAUCCUUAACCCACUGAGCAAGGGCAGGGACUGAACCCGCAACCUCAUGGUUCCUAGUCGGAUUUGUUAACCACUGAGCCACGAUGGGAACUCCCCCAAUUUACACUCUUAUCAACAGUGCAGGAGGGUUCCCUUCUCUCUAUACACUCUUCAGCAUUUGUUAUUUGUAGAUUUUUAAAGGAUGGCCAUUCUUACCAGUGUGAGAUGGUACCUCGCUGUAGUUUUGAUUCACAUUUCUCUAACAAUUAGUGAUGAUGAGCAUCUUUUCAUGUACCUACUGGCCAUCUAUAUGUCUUUGGAGUGAUGUCCAUUUAGGUCUUCUGCCCAUUUUUUGAUUGGGUUGUUUGGGGUUUUUUUUGAUAUUUAGUUGUAUGAGCUAUUUGUAUAUUUUGGAGAUUAAGCCCUUGUGGUUGCAACAGUUGCAAAUAUUUUCUCCCAUUAUGUAGGCUGUGUUUUUGUUUUGUUUAUGGUUAUGUUUGCUGUACAAAAGCUUAUAAGUUUAAUUAGGCCCCAUUCAUUUAUUUUUGCUUUUAUUUCUAUUGCCUUGGAAGACUGACCUAAGAAGAUAUUAAUACAAUCUAUGCUGGAGAAUGUUUUACCUAUGUUCUCUUCCAUAGGUGUGUAGCAGUUACAGUAAUGUUUUAAUUGUCAUUGCCAGUGACAGGUCUAGGGGCAACCAUGUGAUCCAGUUUUGCCCAGUGGAACCUGAGAAGAUGUGUGCUGGAGGCUUUUGAAUAAGCAUCAGGGAAAAAAACAAAAUCUUCCCCAUUUGUAGGAAGAAUUAUUAAGUUAGCAGUAUUUGUCAUUUAUUCAGUGUGUACAACUCUGGGAAAAUAGUUUCAAA